UACGGGGGGAGCAAGCGUUGUUCGGAUUUACUGGGCGUAAAGGGCGCGUAGGCGGCCACGACAAGUCACUUGUGAAAUCUCCGGGCUUAACUCGGAACGGUCAAGUGAUACUGUCGGGCUAGAGUGCAGAAGGGGCAACUGGAAUUCCUGGUGUAGCGGUGAAAUGCGCAGAUAUCAGGAGGAACACCGAUGGCGAAGGCAGGUCUCUGGGCCACUACUGACGCUGAGAAGCGAAAGCAUGGGGAGCGAACAGG
rnacentral:rRNA from 1 species